GGAGAGGUGGCCGAGUGGUUGAAGGCGGCGGUCUUGAAAACCGCAGGGCGAGAGCCUCGUGGGUUCGAAUCCCACCCUCUCCGCCA
rnacentral:tRNA from 1 species